AGGACGAACGCUGGCGGCGUGCCUAACACAUGCAAGUCGAGCGAGGAGAUCCUUCGGGAUGAUCCUAGCGGCGGACGGGUGAGUAACACGUGGGCAACCUGCCUCAUAGAGAGGAAUAGCCUUCCGAAAGGGAGAUUAAUACCUCAUAACAUUGCAGUUUCGCAUGGAACAGCAAUUAAAGGAGCAAUCCGCUAUGAGAUGGGGCCCGCGGCGCAUUAGCUAGUUGGUGAGGUAACGGCUCACCAAGGCGACGAUGCGUAGCCGACCUGAGAGGGUGAUCGGCCACAUUGGGACUGAGACACGGCCCAGACUCCUACGGGAGGCAGCAGUGGGGAAUAUUGCACAAUGGGGGAAACCUUGAUGCAGCCAACGCCGCGUGAGUGAUGACGGCCUUCGGGUUGUAAAGCUCUGUCUUCAGGGACGAUAAUGACGGUACCUGAGGAGGAAGCCACGGCUAACUACGUGCCAGCAGCAGC
rnacentral:rRNA from 1 species